rnacentral:antisense_RNA from 1 species
GACAGAAGAGCUCCUUGGCACUGGAUGCCUCCGGGUCUGGUUGAGAGAGGAAUGGUUAGGAGACUGUUCUGAGGAUACGCAGACAUCAUCCAAAGCUUCCUACAUUCAGAUGAGGACAGAGGUUGGGCCAGAGCUUUGUAUGCUUGUUACCUAAGGAUGGUUCUGACCAUGUAAGCAGAUCACAGAAGCUGGAGGCAAAGGAUGCCAAGAUGGGAAAGCCACAUAAUGGAAGGAUCCUGGAUUUCAGAGCUGUCACUUGGAGGAGGGGCACCCAGUGAAGGUGUCUUAUCUAACCCACACCAUAUCUUCAUGAAGUGGCCAUAUGGAUUUGAUCCCUAUCCUUCAGAGGUGCUCAGCCUAAGGGAACACGGAUAGUAGAUUAAGCACUGACCAGGCUCGAGUUUGUACAUUCCAACUUGUUGUUUGGGCCUUGUUGGACAUAACUGAAGUCUGGAUGGCAGGGUGAAAAUUGGAUAAACAGCCACACUGACUCAGG